UGUAAAAAUUUCAUCCAUUUGUACUAUUAAAACUGAUGCGACUGAUGAACUAAUCAGAUAGUGACAUGUGAUGUGUCCCCAUGUACCUCAUGUUGAUGAACUAAGACCAGUUUUUAAUAGUAGAAAUUGAUACAUUUUUUAACA
rfam:Gossypium arboreum cultivar AKA8401 contig_1513_15, whole genome shotgun sequence.